rnacentral:rRNA from 1 species
GAUGAACGCUAGCUACAGGCUUAACACAUGCAAGUCGCAGGGUAACAUGAGGAAAGCUUGCUUUCCUUGAUGACGACUGGCGCACGGGUGAGUAACGCGUAUCCAACCUUCCCAUAACUACGGUAUAACCCGUUGAAAGACGGCCUAAUACCGUAUGACAUCGUUUGCUGACAUCAAAUAACGAUUAAAGGUUUAGCGGUUAUGGAUGGGGUUGCGUGUGAUUAGCUUGUUGGCGGGCUGACGGCCCACCAAGGAGACGAUCAGUAGGGGUUCUGAGGGGAAGCUGCCCCACAGUGGAACUGAGAACAUGUCCAAUGUCCUACGGGAGGCAGCAGUGAGGAAUACAGGUGAAUGGGAGAGAGCCUGAUCGAGGCAAGUAGGGUGCAGGAGGACGGCGCUAGGGGUUGUGACCUGCUUUUAUGAGGGGAUAAAGUGCGUGACGUGUCAUGCAUUGCAGGUACCAGAUGAAUAAGGACCGGCUAAUUCCGUG